GGAGAGGUGGCCGAGAGGUCGAAGGCGGCUGACUCGAAAUCAGCUGUACGCAUUAGGCGUACCGCGGGUUCGAAUCCCGCCCUCUCCG
rnacentral:tRNA from 1 species